rnacentral:lncRNA from 1 species
CGAGGAGGGCGGAGGCCGGGCGUGCGCGGUUCCGCUGUGGCGCGGGACUGAGAAGCGCGGGCGCGGCGUGGUUUCCGCAAGGUCGGGCAGCCAGUGAGGUGCUCGCGGCGUCUCCUCCUGUUGUUUCUGCCGCCGAAACCCUGAGUGUAGAUCGGACGGGGUUGCCAGUUGGAGGUCUCGGGCCGCUGGGCCGCAGGGCCGCAGGGCCGCAGGGCCGCAGCCUUGGUGCUGGGGGCAGCGCGCGGAGCCUCGUGUUCCGGCUGCGGCCGGGUCCGGCCCAGAGACUUGAUCUGUGUGUGGCGGAGCGUCUCUAGCAGAACUCUGGUCCUCAGGUUCGGCAGGGCCUCGGGAGCCAGGGUGCCGCUGUUCAGGGACUGUGGGGGCGGCCAGGCGCGAGGAUCCGGGCUGCUGGGCUGGGGAGAACCUCCAGGAAGCCAGAGAUGAACCAUAUCCUGGGCACAGUCCUCUUGGAUAGUUUCAAGUUGGAAGCCUUUCUUUAUUGAUAGUCAGAUGAAUUCGACCCCCCAAAAGAAACAAAAAGCACCCAGAAAUCUUCAUUCUAGUGACGACCCAGACAUGUGGACUUGGACUUACCUCCUGCAGGUCCUCACUGAUUCCAUGGGACAACCUCUUCAGGCCAACUUGCUCUUUUUUUUCCUAAACAUGACAACUCCAUUUCUGACAUGCAUCUCAGCAUUUUUUUAAUUGUCUCUUAAUAAAAACCCUAAUCCUCAGGAAGGGUUCUGAAUUCCAAAUAUGCCUACUCAGUGAAAAAAUGCACCAACCAGAAAGUAGGAAUGAGAGUUGACCCAUUGCUAUCAUUUUCAACUAAGUUAAAUUAAUUGUAAAAAAUCUUUGCUGCCCUUAUGGAAACUUCUACUGAUAUGGAAAAGUUUUAGACAACUUAAUAGAAUGAAUAUUAAGGUAAUUGUAGAAGCAAAAUAAGUAAUGUGUUCUUUUAAGAUUUGCUUUUCCUGUAACUCCUAGUUUAAGGUGAAGAUUAUCUGACUCUAACCAGUAACUUCAUUAACCUAACAAAGUUACCAUGCCAGGGUGAAUUUACAAUGUAUAUGGCCUAUCUUGUGUCUGUGACUUGUAAAUAGGAACUGGAAUUGUAUUUACAUAUCAAAGACCACUAGGGAUGAGAUAAUGGCUAAAAAGGAUAUAAGAAGGGAAAUGCUGAACAAAG